CAUCUGAUAUACAAUAUUUUCUUAAAUUGUAUAAAGAGAAAUUAUUGUACAUCGGAUGAG
rnacentral:pre_miRNA from 1 species